GGGUGGAAAACACGCACCCCCGGCGUCUGACAGCUCCGGCAUUUAAACAUGUGCCUGUCCGGUUUCUGGUUAACCAGCUAGUUAACCCCGUUAAUCCAACCGCCACCUAUACGGAGGGACCCGCCCCCCAACGAGCAUCGACCUGUCAUCAUGCGAGGCGGAUGAAGUUCAAAUGACAGCGCAGGUCGUCGAAUCGUAAGGGCAGAAAACCACACGAGCGGCUGGGGGGCUUGGCGAUCCACCCAAUCCAAGGCAAACGCAGGCAUGGGUUUGGACAAAUUCAAGCCCCGUACUGCUUUGGAGCAUUUCUUCUGAGCCAAGUACAAAGCCAAGUGUUAAAGGCGAGGCUGGAUUGUGGGGGCCACGUGGGUGACAGGAGAACCACCUCCAUUUCUGCCUGACGUGGGGUUCUUCAGUGGGGAAACAUUGGUGACAACAGCCAUGCCAACCAAAAAAAAAGUUCAGAGAUGAAACAGUUGAGUUUUCAGUGUGGCAGAAUGGAGAAAUUAUUUAUGGCACCACAGACAGGAUGUGUGGGCGAAAGUAUGAUAUCAAGGGGCUGGUUUAGUGUUUUUUCUUAAAUAAAAUAAACUCCUCU